rnacentral:lncRNA from 1 species
AAGGACUCAGUUUCUUAAAUCUCUUAGGACUACUUCCUUCUGCUAGGAUUGAUAGAUUCUAUCUAAGUACCCCUACUUCUGUAAUAGACCAACUAUUUCCAACAUCUACUACAAAGACUCAUUGAGUUAAUAUUUAUGUGUGAUCGAACUUCGACAGCCUUACUACGAGUAGUUGUAGCACCGCAGGUCAAAAGAUCAGUCACACUAUUGCAGCAUCG